rnacentral:rRNA from 1 species
GAGAGUUUGAUCAUGGCUCAGAUUGAACGCUGGCGGCAUGCGUAACACAUGCAAGUCGAACGGUGUUUGGUGCUUGCACCAGACAUAGUGGCGGACGGGUGAGUAAUGCGUAGGAAUCUGUCUUAGAGAGGGGGACAACCCGAGGAAACUUGGGCUAAAACCGCAUAUUCUCGAGAGAGGAAAGCAGGGGACCGGAAACGGCCUUGUGCUCUAAGGUGAGCCUACGUCGGAUUAGCUAGUUGGUAGGGUAAAAGCCUACCAAGGCGAUGAUCUGUAGCUGGUCUGAGAGGACGGACAGCCACACUGGGACUGAGACACGGCCCAGACUCCUACGGGAGGCAGCAGUGGGGAAUAUUGGACAAUGGGGGGAACCCUGAUCCAGCGAUGCCGCGUGUGUGAAGAAGGCCUGCGGGUUGUAAAGCACUUUCAGUGGGAAAGAGAAGCGUCUUGUGAAUAAUGGGACGUGGAGACGUUACUCACAGAAGAAGCACCGGCUAACUCUGUG